rnacentral:tRNA from 1 species
AGCAGAGUGGUGCAGUGGAAGCGUGCUGGGCCCAUAACCCUGAGGUCCGUGUAUCAAAACCCCGCUCUGCUA